rnacentral:rRNA from 1 species
AUUCCAGCUCCAAUAGCGUAUAUUUAAGUUGUUGCAGUUAAAAAGCUCGUAGUUGGAUUUCGGUUGAGAGCGGCCGGUCCGCCGUUUGGUGUGCACUGGCUGGUCUCAACUUCCUGCGGAGGACGCGCUCUGGGCUUAACGGUCUGGACGUGGAGUCCGCGUGGUUACUUUGAAAAAAUUAGAGUGUUCAAAGCGGGCUUACGCUUGAAUAUUUCAGCAUGGAAUAACACUAUAGGACUCCUGUCCUAUUUCGUUGGUCUCGGGACGGGAGUAAUGAUUAAGAGGAACAGUUGGGGGCAUUCGUAUUUCAUUGUCAGAGGUGAAAUUCUUGGAUUUAUGAAAGACGAACUUCUGCGAAAGCAUUUGCCAAGGAUGUUUUCAUCA